GAGACAAUCAAUAAAUACUUACUGGAUUAUCAGUGACUCCUUUCAUGCAAUGAUUUUACGACUGUUUUCUGAUGGCUCUAAACAUGAAUGCAAGUGUUCGAUAUCAAGUGUUUAGAAGCAGCAUCUGGGACAGAGUAAAGCCUCAACACAUAUUUGCAGAUUACAGAAAAAUUACAUGUAAAAAAAGAUGGGUUUUUUCAAAAAGCAUGGUCUCAUUCCAUUGUCCAGGCUGGAGUGCAGUUGCACAGUCUUGGCUCACUACAACCUCUGCCCCCCAGGUUGAAGGGAUCCUCCUACUUCAGCCUCCUGCGUAGCUGGGAUCACAGGUGUGCGCCACCAUGCUCAGCUGAAUAUUUUUGGAUUUUUACUAGACAUGGUAUCUCAACCUGUUGCCCAGGCUAGUCUCGAACUCCCAAGCACAAGCCAUCCACCCACCUCUGCCCCCACCCCAGAGUGCAGGGAUUACAGAUGUGAGCCACUGUGUUCGUUUCUUUGCUUCUUUAUCAGUAAAAUGGACAUAAUCAUCAUAUCUGCCUUGUAGGGUUGUUGUAAGGCUUAAACAAGACAAUGAACGUAAAGUUUUAGCAUCUGGCACAUGGUGAAUACUCAAAAAAAGUUAAUUUUUCUUCUUUUUCUCCUCCUUUUCAUUAUUAUUAGCCAAACUGGUAAUGACAUUGCAAGCAAUUUUAUCAUUAGAUUUAUCAUAUUGUGUUACACUGUGUUUUUAAUCACAUUUUCAACAAGUUGGAAGCUUUUUCGAACCAUCUCUUUUAUAUACGUAGAAACUAAGAUGGAAAGAAUGUAAGAAAUUGAUUCCUAUUAUAGAAGAAUAAAACCUUUUCUGUAUGUAAAACAUAAAAUUCUAGAAUUUCAUGCUCUUUUCUUUGACUAAUCAUAAUUGUUUUAUAAUUUAUAUCCUAUGUAAUGGUAAAAGUUAUCCUUAAAUGAUACAAGAUGUAGUUUAAUUAAAAAAUGAGAGGAAAGAACUGUCCUUUUAUUAAAAAAAAUAACAUUUCAACACUUACAUUAUAUAUUCCAACUUUCAGUUCAGGCAUUAUUUGGAGACGGGGGAGUACAGGGAAAGUUUUAGUUGGCUUUGCGUUGGUUGCCAGGAAACAUACAAAGGGAUCAGAACAGAGGAAACAAACUCCACAUUUCUGAGAAGGUGGCCUCAGAGUCAGGUACUUCACUGGUAGGGAAACUGCAGCUUUGUCAUCUAACUCUUCCAGAUAAGAAAGUGGAGUUGAAAACUACAACGUGUUAAUGGAAGCAAAGUAAGCCAAAGAGAUUUUUGGGAAGGUGCUUUUCUAAUGCAUUUAAAAUGAAGAGUGGAAGUUGUUUUCUGUGUCCGUUACUAUCAAUGUGGGGAAGCUUUAACCUGGCUUGAUUAAAAAUGUGUAAACAGAGUCUAAGGAAGGGGUAAAAAUGCCAUUUUAAAACCACUCAACUGUAAAUUUUGAAAAUAAACUCUGGAAUCAAAUAAGCGAGGUGGUUCAGGGCUUUCAUUUCCUGCCUCGGGUUGAACAUUUUGCCUCCUAAUUGUAUGCCUUGGAAGGUUUGUACUUGGAUUUUGGAAUUCUAUUGCU
ensembl:lncRNA